rnacentral:rRNA from 1 species
CAGUAGGGAAUCUUCCACAAUGGGCGAAAGCCUGAUGGAGCAACGCCGCGUGUGUGAUGAAGGCUUUCGGGUCGGUAAAGCACUGUUGUNUGGGAAGAACAGCUAGAAUAGGAAAUGAUUUUAGUUUUGACGGUACCAUACCAGAAAGGGACGGCUAAAUACGUGCCAG